rnacentral:rRNA from 1 species
UCAUGGAGGACCGAACUCAUGAAAGUUGAAAAUUUCUGGGAUGAGCUGUGUGUAGGGGUGAAAGGCCAAUCAAACUCCGUGAUAGCUGGUUCUCCCCGAAAGAUAUUUAGGUAUCGUCUUGGGUAAUUCAAUACUGGAGGUAGAGCACUGGAACGGCUAGGGGUCUCACCAGAUUACCAAACCGUACCAAACUCCGAAUGCCAGUAAUUGUUAGCCCGGGAAGCAGUCAGUGGGUGAUAACGUCCAUUGGCAAGAGGGGAAUAACCCAGACCGACAGCUAAGGCCCCCAAGUCUAGUCUAAGUGAACACUAGAAAGGAUGUGGCAGGUCAUUGACAACCAGGAGGUUGGCUUAGAAGCAGCCAUCCUUUAAAGAAAGCGUAAUAGCUCACUGGUCGAGACAGGCCGCGCCGAAAAUGUAACGGGGCUCAAGACUAGCGCCGAAGCUUCGGAUUGCAUGCGCCUGGCGCAUGCAGUGGUAGGGGAGCGUUGCAACUACGGCGAAGGUGGACCGCAAGGGCCGCUGGAGUGGUUGCGAGUGCUGAUGCCGAAAUGAGUAGCGAUAAAGGGGGUGAGAAACCCCCUCGCCGUAAACCCAAGGUUUCCUGGGUCAAGUUAAUCUUCCCAGGGUUAGCCGGAACCUAAGCCGAGGCCGAAAGGCGUAGGUGAUGGAAAGCAGGUUAAUAUUCCUGCGCCAUCUUGUAGACGUUGAACCGAGGAAGGACGGAGAAAGCUAGACGAGCUGGCCGGUGGUUGUGCCAGUCCAAAGGCGUAGGGGUGUCGCGUACGAUGAAAAGGCGCGGCAGUCAUCCCCGAGACCCCAUGGCGUCCCGCAAGGGAUUAGUCGUUGAUGCUCGGCUUCCAAGAAAAGUUCCGCGGGGAGUCUACAGGGUGUCCGUACCGCAAACCGACACAGGUGGGUGAGGAGAAAAUCCUAAGGCGCUUGAGAGAACUCUCCUCCAAGGAACUAGGCAAAUUUCCACCGUAACUUCGGAAGAAGGUGGGCCUCUGGUAGGUGUAGGCGUACAGCUGAAGCCGAGAGAGGUUGCAGAGAAAUGGCGGUAGCGACUGUUUACCAAAAACACAGGACUCUGCGAAGGCAAGAAGCCGACGUAUAGGGUCUGACUCCUGCCCGGUGCUGGAAGGUUAAGGGGAUUCGUCAGCCGCAAGGCGAAGCGAUGAUCCGAAGCCCCAGUAAACGGCGGCCGUAACUAUAACGGUCCUAAGGUAGCGAAAUUCCUUGUCGGGUAAGUUCCGACCUGCACGAAUGGAGUAACGACUUCCGCACUGUCUCGGAGAGGGACUCAGCGAAAUUGAAAUAGCUGUGCCGAUGCAGUUUACCCGCAGCAAGACGGAAAGACCCCGUGAACCUUUACUACAACUUGACAGUGACACUAGGGUUCGACUGUGUAGGAUAGGUGGGAGCCUUUGAAGCCGGGCCGCUAGGUUCGGUGGAGGCAACGGUGAAAUACCACCCUGUCGGAUUCUGGUGUCUAACCAUGCUCCUUAAGCGGGAGUUGGGACACUGUCUGGUGGGUAGUUUGACUGGGGCGGUCGCCUCCCAAAACGUAACGGAGGCGCGCGAUGGUUCCCUCAGCCCGAUUGGAAACCGGGCGUCGAGUGCAAUGGCAUAAGGGAGCUUGACUGCGAGACCGACAGGUCGAGCAGGUGCGAAAGCAGGUCAUAGUGAUCCGGUGGUCCUGAAUGGAAGGGCCAUCGCUCAACGGAUAAAAGGUACUCCGGGGAUAACAGGCUUAUCUCCCCCAAGAGUUCACAUCGACGGGGAGGUUUGGCACCUCGAUGUCGGCUCAUCGCAUCCUGGGGCUGGAGCAGGUCCCAAGGGUUUGGCUGUUCGCCAAUUAAAGCGGUACGCGAGCUGGGUUCAAAACGUCGUGAGACAGUUUGGUCCCUAUCUGCUGUGGGCGUAGGAUACUUGAGAGGCUCUGACCUUAGUACGAGAGGACCGGGUUGGAGACACCGCUGGUGUACCAGUUGUCUCGCCAGAGGCAUCGCUGGGUAGCCAUGUGUCGAUUGGAUAACCGCUGAAAGCAUCUAAGCGGGAAACCGACCUCAAGAACAGGUAUCCCGGGCGCAAGCCCCUGAAGACCCGUCGAAGACUACGACGUUGAUAGGCCGGGUGUGUAAGCGCGGUAACGCGUUGAGCUAACCGGUACUAAUUGGUCGUGCGGCUUACUGACCUCAAUCUCU